rnacentral:tmRNA from 1 species
GGGGGUGCCUUUGGCUUCGACGGGAAUAACGGAGAUUUAAACUGCAAGUCGGAUGUCUAACGAUAAUAGACAAAUUAAAUAUAGCUGGAAACAACUAUAACAACGCUCUUGCUUUUGCUUAAAAUUUAAGUAAACAAGAGGUCUAUCUAUUUCUUUGCUUGUGAGAAAUAACAUAGACUUAUAAAGCAAGCUAUAUUAUAGAUAAAGUUUAUAAUCUAUAACGAAUAAUAUAAACUAGAAAAUAUUUUAAUUUGUUAGUUAAUUAUAAUAUUUUCGAAAUCUAUCUAACUAACUAAACUUGUAGAAGUUUUUAUUAAAGGAUUUUCGGACAGGGGUUCGACUCCCCUCACCUCCACCA